rnacentral:lncRNA from 12 species
CACGAGGAAGAUUUGUGCUGCUCUCUGUAGCAUUGUGGUGAAGUGAAUUUUGCACAGUGAAGUAUCGCGUUGCAAUGUGGACUUUGGGUUCAGAAAGCUCAUAUUAAUUCCAGCUCUGUGCCAGGAACAUCCUGCCUUCCUUGGGCACAGCCUGUCACCAUCAGCUGGUGAUCUCACAACUGGAGAGACAGAACAAGAUCAGCCGAGCUGCAGCUCAGGAGAUGCAGCAGGUCAUGGCAGGUUGUGGCCAGCACUCACAUGUUCCUGCAGCACAUCAGAAAUUAAAUCGAUCAGCUCUGAGUUAACAUCACAGCAGCUCAAUUCUAUUUAUCAGUUUGGCUUGUGUAAUUUUGC